AUGCAUUCACAUAUAGAUAGCUUAUUUGCAUUGUUCAAAAAACUUUGUAGUCUCAAUGAUGAUGCAUACAUGUCAACGAUGGGUGCUGGCUCCAACAAUUCGCAUUGGUCUCAAACCAAUGACAUGCAUUUCGAAAACCAUGAGUUCGAGGUGGACGAGGAGGGUGAGGGCAUUGUCGACGCACCGAAAGGAAGAGCGGGCAAUUACACCAACGUCGAUGACAUCUUACUAUGCAAUACUUGGUUGCAAGUGUCGAGGGAUCCAUCCGUUGGAGGUGAUCAAAGUAGAGAUGCUUAUUGGGGGCGGAUGAAAGAACACUUUGAUGUUCACAACUUGAGUGGAAUUGACCGCUCCGAGAGAUCACUUCGGUCCCGAUGGUCGACAAUCAACUCGGAUUGUCAAAGGUGGGUGGCCUGUCAAAAGGCGGUUGACAAGUUGAACCCAAGUGGCACAAAUGAGGACGAUAGAGUAAGUGACAUUUCAUACAUGUUCAUCAUACUUGUUGUUGGUGCUAACUUGCUUUGUUUUCAUGUAGUACAGAAUUGCGCAAAACUUGUUCAAAGAAGAGGAGAGGACAACCAAGAAGGGGAAGAUCAAGAAAGGAAGGGUCUUUACCUUGCCCCAUUGCUAUAA
rnacentral:rRNA from 1 species